UACAGAGGUCUCAAGCGUUGUUCGGAUUCAUUGGGCGUAAAGGGUGCGUAGGUGGCGCGGUAAGUCGGGUGUGAAAUCUCGGGGCUUAACUCCGAAACUGCAUUCGAUACUGCCGUGCUUGAGGACUGGAGAGGAGACUGGAAUUUACGGUGUAGCAGUGAAAUGCGUAGAUAUCGUAAGGAAGACCAGUGGCGAAGGCGGGUCUCUGGACAGUUCCUGACACUGAGGCACGAAGGCCAGGGAGCAAACGGG
rnacentral:rRNA from 1 species